CAGUCGAACGCACAGCGAAAGGUGCUUGCACCUUUCAAGUGAGUGGCGAACGGCUGAGUAACACGUGGACAACCUGCCUCAAGGCUGGGGAUAACAUUUGGAAACAGAUGCUAAUACCGAAUAAAACUUAGUGUCGCAUGACACAAAGUUAAAAGGCGCUUCGGCGUCACCUAGAGAUGGAUCCGCGGUGCAUUAGUUAGUUGGUGGGGUAAAGGCCUACCAAGACAAUGAUGCAUAGCCGAGUUGAGAGACUGAUCGGCCACAUUGGGACUGAGACACGGCCCAAACUCCUACGGGAGGCUGCAGUAGGGAAUCUUCCACAAUGGGCGAAAGCCUGGUGGAGCAACGCCGCGUGUGUGAUGAAGGCUUUCGGGUCGUAAAGCACUGUUGUAUGGGAAGAACAGCUAGAAUAGGAAAUGAUUUUAGUUUGACGGUACCAUACCAGAAAGGGACGGCUAAAUACGUGCCAGCAGCCGCGGUAAUACGUAUGUCCCGAGCGUUAUCCGGAUUUAUUGGGCGUAAAGCGAGCGCAGACGGUUUAUUAAGUCUGAUGUGAAAGCCCGGAGCUCAACUCCGGAAUGGCAUUGGAAACUGGUUAACUUGAGUGCAGUAGAGGUAAGUGGAACUCCAUGUGUAGCGGUGGAAUGCGUAGAUAUAUGGAAGAACACCAGUGGCGAAGGCGGCUUACUGGACUGCAACUGACGUUGAGGCUCGAAAGUGUGGGUAGCAAACAGGAUUAGAUACCCUGGUAGUCCACACCGUAAACGAUGAACACUAGGUGUUAGGAGGUUUCCGCCUCUUAGUGCCGAAGCUAACGCAUUAAGUGUUCCGCCUGGGGAGUACGACCG
rnacentral:rRNA from 1 species